rnacentral:rRNA from 1 species
GACGAACGCUGGCGGCGUGCUUAACACAUGCAAGUCGAACGGAAAGGCCCUGCUUUUGUGGGGUGCUCGAGUGGCGAACGGGUGAGUAACACGUGAGUAACCUGCCCUUGACUUUGGGAUAACUUCAGGAAACUGGGGCUAAUACCGGAUAGGAGCUCCUGCUGCAUGGUGGGGGUUGGAAAGUUUCGGCGGUUGGGUAUGGACUCGCGGCUUAUCAGCUUGUUGGUGGGGUAGUGGCUUACCAAGGCUUUGACGGGUAGCCGGCCUGAGAGGGUGACCGGCCACAUUGGGCCUGAGAUACGGCCCAGACUCCUACGGGCGGCAGCAGUGGGGAAUAUUGCACAAUGGGCGGAAGCCUGAUGCAGCAACGCCGCGUGCGGGAUGACGGCCUUCGGGUUGUAAACCGCUUUCGCCUGUGACGAAGCGUGAGUGACGGUAAUGGGUAAAGAAGCACCGGCUAACUACGUG